rnacentral:rRNA from 1 species
GACGUAGGGCGCGAGCGUUGUCCGGAUUUAUUGGGCGUAAAGAGCUCGUAGGCGGUCUGUUGCGUCGGCUGUGAAAACCCGGGGCUCAACUCCGGGCCUGCAGCCGAUACGGGCAGACUAGAGUUCGGCAGGGGAGACUGGAAUUCCUGGUGUAGCGGUGAAAUGCGUAGAUAUCUGGAGGAAUACCGGUGGCGAAGGCGGCAUCCUGGACCGACAUUGACGCUGAGGAGCGAAAGCUAGGGGAGCAAACGGG